rnacentral:SRP_RNA from 1 species
GCCGGUGUGGUAGCACAAGCCUGGAAUGCCUGUUUUUGGGAGGCUGGAGCUGGCAUAUCUCUUGAGCUCAGGAGUUCUAGCUGCAGUGGCUAUGCUGAUCCAGUGUCCAUAUUAAAUUUAGCAUAAAUAUAUUGAGCCUUCAGAGUAGAGGUCCACCAUGCUGUCAAAUGAGAAAUAAACCUGCCUUGGUCAGAAAUGGAGCAGGUCAAAAUUCACAUGUCAAUUAGGAGUGGCAUAGGUAGGACCUUGUGAAUAGUACCUAAAUUUCCAGUUUGGCCAAUAUAUGGGGACUCAGUCUUU